rnacentral:rRNA from 1 species
GUCCAUUAAUCAAGAACGAAAGUUAGGGGAUCGAAGACGAUCAGAUACCGUCGUAGUCCUAACUAUAAACGAUGUCAACCAAGGAUUGGAUGAAAUAAAGAAAUUCGCGGAUGAAGAAACAUUGUUUCGGAAACCAAGAGUUUCACAACUACCUUGUUCAGAACUUAAUGAGAAAUCUCGAGUUUAUGGACUUCAGGGGCAGUAUGGUCACAAGGCUGAAACUUAAAGGAAUUGACGGAAGGGCACACCAGGAGUGGAGCCUGCGGCUUAAUUUGACUCAACUCGGGAAAACUUACCAAGACCGAACAGUAGAAGGAAUGACAGAUUAAGAGUUCUUUCAUGAUUUAUUGGGUAGUGGUGCAUGGCCGUUCUUAGUUGGUGGAGUGAUUUGUCAGGUUAAUUCCGGUAACGAACGAGACUGAAACCUAUUAAUUAGUUUCCUGCCUAUACGACAGGAAUCUCCGCAAGGUCAGGUGCCUCGGUACCACUUCUUAAAGG